rnacentral:rRNA from 1 species
UGGGGAAUAUUGCACAAUGGGCGCAAGCCUGAUGCAGCCAUGCCGCGUGUAUGAAGAAGGCCUUCGGGUUGUAAAGUACUUUCAGUCGGGAGGAAGGUGGUAAGGUUAAUAACCUUAUCAAUUGACGUUACCGACAGAAGAAGCACCGGCUAACUCCGUGCCAGCAGCCGCGGUAAUACGGAGGGUGCAAGCGUUAAUCGGAAUUACUGGGCGUAAAGCGCACGCAGGCGGUUUGUUAAGUCAGAUGUGAAAUCCCCGGGCUUAACCCGGGAAUUGCAUCUGAUACUGGUCAGCUAGAGUCUUGUAGAGGGGGGUAGAAUUCCAUGUGUAGCGGUGAAAUGCGUAGAGAUGUGGAGGAAUACCGGUGGCGAAGGCGGCCCCCUGGACAAAGACUGACGCUCAGGUGCGAAAGCGUGGGGAGCAAACAGG